AACCCUUAUUGUUAGUUGCCAUCAUUCAGUUGGGCACUCUAGCGAGACUGCCGGUAAUAAACCGGAGGAAGGUGGGGAUGACGUCAAAUCAUCAUGCCCCUUAUGACCUGGGCUACACACGUGCUACAAUGGUUGGUACAACGAGUCGCAAGUCGGUGACGGCAAGCAAAUCUCUUAAAGCCAAUCUCAGUUCGGAUUGUAGGCUGCAACUCGCCUACAUGAAGUCGGAAUCGCUAGUAAUCGCGGAUCAGCACGCCGCGGUGAAUACGUUCCCGGGCCUUGUACACACCGCCCGUCACACCACGAGAGUUUGUAACACCCGAAGUCGGUGAGGUAACCGUAAGGAGCCAGCCCCCUAAGGUGGGAUAGAUGAUUGGGGUGAAAUCGUAACAAGUACGCCC
rnacentral:rRNA from 1 species